rnacentral:rRNA from 1 species
UACAUGUGGGGCAAGCGUUGUUCGGAAUUACUGGGCAUAAAGGGUGCGUAGGCGGUUUGUUAAGUCACUGGUGAAAGUUUUCGGCCCAACCGGAAAAUUGCCUGUGAUACUGGCGAACUUGAGUGCGUGAGGGGUGGGGGGAACGAGCAGUGUAGCGGUGAAAUGCGUAGAUAUUGCUCGGAAGGCCGGAGCCGAAGGGGCCCCACUGGUACGUAACUGACGCUGAGGCACGAAAGCGUGGGGAGC